AAUAAGCGUAGUCAUGAGUUUUCGCACUCAAUUUUGAUCAUUCGUUUUAUUUGAAUUUUUUUUAUAAUUAGCAUUUUUGUUGUUCUGAGAUGAUAAAAUAUGAACAGUAUUUUACUUAUGACUUAUGUUUUAAAUUAUUUUAAAAAAAAUUUAAAUAAGAUGAACGGCCAAAGUUGGGCGUGGAAAACUAUGGCUGCAUUUAUU
rfam:Oryza nivara chromosome 6, whole genome shotgun sequence.